UACGUAGGGGGCAAGCGUUGUCCGGAAUCAUUGGGCGUAAAGCGCGUGUAGGCGGCUUGAUAAGUCUGCUGUGAAAGCCCGGGGCUCAACCCCGGGAGGCGGGUGGAUACUGUCAAGCUAGAGUCCGGAAGAGGAGUGUGGAAUUCCUGGUGUAGCGGUGAAAUGCGCAGAUAUCAGGAGGAACACCAAUGGCGAAGGCAGCACUCUGGGACGGGACUGACGCUGAGACGCGAAAGCGUGGGGAGCAAACAGG
rnacentral:rRNA from 1 species